CGGAACCAAGAGAUCCGUUGUUGAAAGUUUUAACUUAUUUAGUUUAUGCUCAGACUGCAAUCUUCAGACAGAGUUCAAUAGUGUCUCCGGUGCGCGCGGACCCGGGGGCAGAAGCCCCCCGGCGGCCGUGAGGCGGGCGCACCGAAGCAACAAGGUACAAUAAACACGGGUGGGAGGUUGGACCCAGAGGGCCCUCACUCAGUAAUGAUCCUU
rnacentral:misc_RNA from 1 species